rnacentral:rRNA from 1 species
UACAGAGACUGCAAGCGUUAUUCGGAUUCACUGGGCGUAAAGGGUGCGCAGGCGGCCGUGUGUGUGAGGCGUGAAAGCCCGGGGCUCAACCCCGGAAUUGCACCUCAAACUACAUGGCUAGAGCAUUGGAGAGGGAAGCGGAAUUCACGGUGUAGCAGUGAAAUUCGUAGAUAUCGGGAGGAACACCGGUGGCGAAGGCGGCCAUCUGGGACGGAUACUGACGCUGAGACGCGGAAAGCGUGGGUAGCAAACAGG